CCUUUCCUACGGGGGGAAGCAGUAGGGAAUUUUGCGCAAUGGGCGAAAGCCUGACGCAGCAACACCGCGUGAAUGUUAAGCCCUUCGGGGUGUAAAGUUCUGUCAAUAGGGACGAAUUUUGACUGUACCUAUAAAGGAAGCACCGGCUAACUCCGUGCCAGCAGACGCGGUAAUAAGGGGGGUGCAAGCGUUGUCCGGAAUCAUUGGGCGUAAAGCGUUCGUAGGCGGCAAGGUACGUCUGAUGUUAAAGCCCGGGGCUCAACUCCGGUUCGGCAUUGGAUACUAUCUAGCUAGAAUGUGGUAGA
rnacentral:rRNA from 1 species